rnacentral:rRNA from 1 species
UAGACCGAUAGCGAACAAGUAGAGUGAUCGAAAGAUGAAAAGCACUUUGAAAAGAGAGUUAAACAGCACGUGAAAUUGUUGAAAGGGAAGCGCUUGCAACCAGACUCGGCCUCGGGGUUCAGCCAGCAUUCGUGCUGGUGUACUUCCCCGGGGCCGGGCCAGCGUCGGUUUGGGCGGCCGGUCAAAGGCCCCAGGAAUGUAUCGUCCUCCGGGACGUCUUAUAGCCUGGGGUGCAAUGCGGCCAGCCUGGACCGAGGAACGCGCUUCGGCACGGACGCUGGCGUAAUGGUCGCAAACGACCCGUCUUGAAACACGGACCAAGA